rnacentral:rRNA from 1 species
GACGAACGCUGGCGGCGUGCCUAACACAUGCAAGUCGAACGAAACGUCCGGGUCUUGGUUCGCACGGGGGCUGAAGGCGUGGGAAGUUGCCCUUAGGUUCGGAAUACCUCCCCGAAAGGUAUGCUAAUGCCAGAUAGUCUCUUACGACCAAAGAUUUAUGGCCUUUGGUUGGGCGCGAGUGGGAUUAGCUGGUUGGGAGGGUAAAAGCCGACUAAGGCGAGGAUUCAUAGCUGGUCUGAGAGGAGGAUCAGCCACACUGGGACUGAGACACGGCCCAGAACCCUACGGGAGGGAGCAGUGGGGGAUAUUGGAGAGUGGGCGAAAGGCUGAUACAGCAAUGCCGGGUGAGUGAUGAAGGCGUUAGGGAUGUAAAGCUCUUUUACCCGGGAUGAUAAUGACGGUACCGGGAGAAUAAGCACCGGCUAACUACGUG